rnacentral:rRNA from 1 species
AGUGGGGAAUAUUGGACAAUGGGCGCAAGCCUGAUCCAGCCAUGCCGCGUGUGUGAAGAAGGCCUUCGGGUUGUAAAGCACUUUUGUUCGGGAAGAAAUCGUGCGGAUUAAUACUUCGUACGGAUGACGGUACCGAAAGAAUAAGCACCGGCUAACUUCGUGCCAGCAGCCGCGGUAAUACGAAGGGUGCAAGCGUUACUCGGAAUCACUGGGCGUAAAGCGUGCGUAGGCGGUUCGUUAAGUCUGCUGUGAAAGCCCUGGGCUCAACCUGGGAACUGCAGUGGAUACUGGCGGGCUAGAGUGUGAUAGAGGAUGGUGGAAUUCCCGGUGUAGCGGUGAAAUGCGUAGAGAUCGGGAGGAACACCAGUGGCGAAGGCGGCCAUCUGGAUCAACACUGACGCUGAGGCACGAAAGCGUGGGGAGCAAA